rnacentral:rRNA from 1 species
GACGAACGCUGGCGGCGUGCCUAAUACAUGCAAGUAGAACGCUGAAGAGAGGAGCUUGCUCUUCUUGGAUGAGUUGCGAACGGGUGAGUAACGCGUAGGUAACCUGCCUUGUAGCGGGGGAUAACUAUUGGAAACGAUAGCUAAUACCGCAUAACAAUGGAUGACACAUGUCAUUUAUUUGAAAGGGGCAAUUGCUCCACUACAAGAUGGACCUGCGUUGUAUUAGCUAGUAGGUGAGGUAAUGGCUCACCUAGGCGACGAUACAUAGCCGACCUGGGAGGGGGAUCGGCCACACUGGGACUUGGACACGGCCCAGGCUCCUACGGGAGGCAGCAGUAGGGAAUCUUCGGCAAUGGGGGCAACCCUGACCGAACAACGCCGCGUGAGUGAAGAAGGUUUUCGGAUCGUAAAGCUCUGUUGUAAGUCAAGAACGGGUGUGAGGGUGGAAAGUUCACACUGUGACGGUAGCUUACCAGAAAGGGACGGCUAACUACGUG